rnacentral:rRNA from 1 species
UGGUGAAUAGCCUUUCGAAAGAGAGAUUAAUACACCGUAACAUAAUGAAGAGGCAUCUCUUUAUUAUUAUAGUAGCAAUACGGUUUUGGAUGGGCGUGCGCCUGAUUAGGUAGUUGGCGGGGUAACGGCCCACCAAGCCUGCGAUCAGUAACUGGUGUGAGAGCACGACCAGUCACACGGGCACUGAGACACUGGCCCGACUCCUACGGGAGGCAGCA